rnacentral:rRNA from 1 species
GCUGGCUGCGUGCUUAACACAUGCAAGUCGAACGCUGAAGCCCGAAGCUUGCUUCGGGUGGAUGAGUGGCGAACGGGUGAGUAACACGUGAGUAACCUGCCCCCGAUUUCGGGAUAAGCCCGGGAAACUGGGUCUAAUACCGGAUACGACCAUCCCUCGCAUGAGGGUUGGUGGAAAGUUUUUCGAUCGGGGAUGGGCUCGCGGCCUAUCAGCUUGUUGGUGGGGUAAUGGCCCACCAAGGCGACGACGGGUAGCCGGCCUGAGAGGGCGACCGGCCACACUGGGACUGAGACACGGCCCAGACUCCUACGGGAGGCAGCAGUGGGGAAUAUUGCACAAUGGGGGAAACCCUGAUGCAGCGACGCAGCGUGCGGGAUGACGGCUUCGGGUUGUAAACCGCUNUCAGCAGGGAAGAAGCGAAAG